rnacentral:rRNA from 1 species
CCUGAACGCUGGCGGCGUGGCUAAGACAUGCAAGUCGUACGGAUGUAGCAAUACAUCAGUGGCGAACGGGUGAGUAAUGAAUCGCUAAUGUGCCCCGGACUCUGGGAUAGCUGCCCGAAAGGGCAGGUAAUACCAGAUGAUAUACCUCUAUCGCAUGAUGGAGGUCUCAAAGGUCCGCCGGUCUCCGGUGGAUGGUCUGGGAGCAGGCGAUUUUGUAUCAGCUAGUUGGUGAGGUAACGGCUCACCAAGGCGACGACGCAUAGCCGGACUGAGAGGU